rnacentral:rRNA from 1 species
AACGAACGCUGGCGGCAUGCCUAACACAUGCAAGUCGAACGAGACCUCCGGGCCUAGUGGCGCACGGGUGCGUAACGCGUGGAAACCUGCCCUUAGGUUCGGAAUCACUCCCAGAAAGGGGUGCUAAUACCGCUUAUUGUCUUCGGACCAAAGAUUUAUCGCCUUUGGAUGGGCACGCGUUGGAUUAGUUAGUUGGUAGGGUAAAAGCAUACCAAGGUGACGAUCCAUUGCUGGGCUGAGAGGAUGAUCAGCAACGCUGGGACUGAGACACGGCCCAGACUCCUACGGGAGGCAGCAGUAGGGAAUAUUGGAGGAUGGGGGAAAGCCUGAUCCAGCAAUGUCGGGGAAGUGAUGAAGGCCUUAGUGUUGUAAAGCUCUUUUAGCCGGGAUGAUAGUGACGGUACCGGGAGAAUAAGCGCCGGCUAACUCCGUG